UACGGAGGAUCCGAGCGUUAUCCGGAUUUAUUGGGUUUAAAGGGUGCGCAGGCGGGAGAUUAAGUCGGCGGUGAAAUUUUGCAGCUCAACUGUAAAAGUGCCUUCGAAACUGGUUUCCUUGAGUGUAGAUGAAGUAGGCGGAAUUUGUGGUGUAGCGGUGAAAUGCUUAGAUAUCACGAGGAACUCCGAUUGCGCAGGCAGCUUACUAAACCACUACUGACGCUCAGGCACGAAGGCGUGGGGAUCAAACAGGAUUAGAUACCCGCGUAGUCCCU
rnacentral:rRNA from 1 species